UACGGGGGGGGCAAGCGUUGUUCGGAAUUACUGGGCGUAAAGGGCUCGUAGGUGGCCAACUAAGUCAGACGUGAAAUCCCUCGGCUUAACCGGGGAACUGCGUCUGAUACUGGAUGGCUUGAGAUUGGGAGAGGGAUGCGGAAUUCCAGGUGUAGCGAUGAAAUGCGUAGAUAUCUGGAGGAACACCGGUGGCGAAGGCGGCAUCCUGGACCAACACUGACACUGAGGAGCGAAAGCCAGGGGAGCAAACGGG
rnacentral:rRNA from 1 species